rnacentral:rRNA from 1 species
AUUGAACGCUGGCGGCAGGCCUAACACAUGCAAGUCGAGCGGCAGCGGGAAGUAGCUUGCUACUUUGCCGGCGAGCGGCGGACGGGUGAGUAAUGUCUGGGAAACUGCCUGAUGGAGGGGGAUAACUACUGGAAACGGUAGCUAAUACCGCAUAAUGUCGCAAGACCAAAGAGGGGGACCUUCGGGCCUCUUGCCAUCAGAUGUGCCCAGAUGGGAUUAGCUAGUAGGUGGGGUAACGGCUCACCUAAGCGACGAACCCUAGCUGGUCGGAGAGGAUGACAAGGCACACUGGAACUGGGAGACGGUCCAGACUCCUACGGGAGGCAGCAGUGGGGAAUAUUGCACAAUGGGCGCAAGCCUGGUGCAGCCAUGCCGCGUGUAUGAAGAAGGCCUUCGGGUUGUAAAGUACUUUCAGCGGGGAGGAAGGUGUUGAGGUUAAUAACCUCAGCAAUUGACGUUACCCGCAGAAGAAGCACCGGCUAACUCCGUGCCAGCCGCCGCCGUAA